ensembl:lncRNA uncharacterized LOC107578103
GCAGGACUCCCUAAUCAGAUCAUGCUUCAUCCUAAUUAACUCAUCCUGAUUAAUAGGUCUAAUUACUUGGGUGUGGUUUCCUCUGGGUUCACGACACACUCUUGGCAUAAACUUGAGGAAAAUUUUGGAUUCACUUUUUUUUGUUUUGUGAAAGCUUUUCCUUUGGUGUAGAAAACUUCAAGGUAAGCACUAUGAAAAAAUAAAGCCACAUACUCAGUUUAAUUUGGAGUUAUAAUAAUUUAAGGAACCCAUUUUAGUUACUACCAUCUGUCUUUUUGAUGUUUUAAUUACCGUCUGUCUUUAGUUGCCAAGAAAUUUGUCCAAAAUGAGAAUCCGCUUCCGUUCAAAAACAAAUGUUCUUUUUGGUUGACUGUAAUUUGAAAACUUUUCUCGCCAAGUAACCAAAACCUUCUUUUGGGCUUGUUCUGCACAAGAUAUGGCUGCUAUAGUAACCCAAGAUCCCACUGGCGGUAUUGCAAGUGUACUCCAUAGACCACGGCAUGCACAAGUCCCUCAGCACCCUGGUCCUCUGCCCUCCAGAAUAUUACACCCAGAAGAGCAUCUCCAGCUAAACCAGCCCUUUUACGUUCCCACUGUCCAGCCGUUCUUCCCAUAUCAAUGGUCCAUGUCAACUCCAUAUGUGCCCUAUGGUGGCUUUCAUGGAUUAGGUUAUGGCACGAUGAUGCCGCCAUCAUUACUACCUCUCCAGUGUUUAGAAGUUCCUGGAUACAUGAUUCCUCAAACUCAACUGCACAUGAUGGACUACAGACGUAUGACUCCCCAUGUGGCUCCAACUAUUGCUCAUCAGACCCGCCACUCACAUUUUCAAAACGGUGUGCCCCCUGGUCGUGUGAUGGUCAGCUCUGAGGUGCAAACUGAACCCCUUUGUCGUAGCAUAGACUCACAUGAACGUGCAAUAUCCCACAAUUGUUCUGAAUCAGGUAGGGGUACUGACAGUCCAGUGUCAACAUCACCCAGCACCUUGGAUAACAAAUCAGUAACUUGCCCUGAAGGUACAUCCAUGCUAACUCAAAAUUACAAUGCCACUAAUGCGAUCAGCACUACUGAUUUGUCUGCUGUUCCCAAGAGUGAAAUCCUUCAAGCUGAACAUAUGCAAAUUAAAUGCGACGCAAUGCUUUCUGGGCGUAAGAAUUUUCAGAACAAGGAUAACAUGGAGCUAGCUAGUCAUAAUGAAACUGACCUUUUGCAGUGCAGCUUGGGUUCUGUACAAUCUUCAGGGGAUGUUGUCUUGUGCGCUUACCAGUCAUUAGCAUUUAGGAAGGAUGAACAGCGGGUUGAAGCUGAGAUGUUAAGGUACUCAAAGCAUCGUCUCCCUGCUUGUACAGAAGUUACUGUGUUGAGAACUUCUCCAUCUUGUAGAACUUUGAAAGCUUAUCCUAAACCAAUCAGAUCUGUCAUUAACCAAGGCAUCAAAGCAAAGAAAAACUCAGACAUGCCUUUUCAGGCAAAGAGCAGAGAAGAUGGCAACACCUCCAAUAACAUUGACUUUAAGAUUCUGCGGCUGCCAUUUGACAUGGAGAACCAUAACCAGCCUUGUCAGCUGGAGGCUUCUAUCUGGUCAGUAGAGUCUCUGAUACCUUAUGUACCUUCCACUGAGUGGAUGACCGAUAAUGGUCUUCUAACUCCUCCGAAACCGUUGAGCCCACUGAAUGAGCACAGUGAUGUUAUCGCAAAGCCAAAUUAUGUUCCUGAAGGGAAGAAUCUACAACCUGGUGCAUCAGUUAAAUAUCAUGGUCGUCCAUGUCAGCUAGAGGCCUCUAUCUGGUCAGUAGAAUCUUUGAUGCCUUAUGUGCCUUCCAGUGAGUGGAUGGUUGAGAAUGGGUGUUUAACUCCUCAGAAGCCGCUGAGCCCACAGAUUAAAUCUAGUGAUCUUCUGUCUAAGCAGAAUCAGUCUUCCACUGGUAUUCCAGCAGAGAAGAAUCUACAAACUGGUGCAUCAACUAAACAUGAGUCCUUUAACUCCCUUGUGUCCCGCUCCCCAUACCGUCCCUCAACAAGCUGGCUGGCUGACUUUGGUAAUGUAUACUACUACAGUAAGUUACCUGUUGUACAGCAACAUCCUGACCUUCCAGAGAAGCAGCAACCAAAGAUGUCCCUUGCCAUUAGUCUUGAACCACCUCCUCUCAGAAAUGGGAAAAACACAAAGAACCAAAGUCCAGCAAUUGGCAUCUCAGAUCAGAAGCACUGUUCACUUCAUACUUGCAAGUGCAAAGCAAAACGCAGUCUGAGGUUAGCUGGAUCUUCUGUGACGUGUGAUUGGGUUUCUCAUUCCACACUGCAGAAUAAACUUCGCUUCUGCACAUCAUGUAGAUAUGUGAAAGGAAAGGAUCAUAGAAAGCCGCCUUUUUCAGAUGGUUUUAGCUGUAAAAGAGAAGAGACUACUGACUUGAAUAACUUUUACAUGAAGAGGGCUACUGAGGGGUUCCAUGGUACCCCAAAGAUGACUUCAGGAAGUCAUUUGUCAAAAUGCUGUGCUGCUUCUCUGGCUAAACCAAGUGAAAAGACUGGACUGUGUGAAGAUUGCCAAUGCCUUAAUCCCAGCCCUGCUCAAGAUAAAUGUGGUGACAUUGGAUGGCGAAUUUGGGAAAAGAGUGAGGAAGACUGGAUUAACAACCCAAAUCAGAGAAUGUUACAGACACUGCAGAAAAGUAGGGCUUCCAAUAUAACAUUGCCAAAAUUCUCGAAAUUGUGUAUGUACUCUGUUGUUACAUGUAUCUUCUUCUGGUAGACAAUCCAUGGAAAGCAAGUAUGCAGGGGUCUAAAACUGAAAGAAGGAUUCAGAAAAAAGAAAGGAAAGCGUACUCACAAGGUAAGAUAAUACAUUUUCUCAAAAGAAUGCUUCAUAUUAGGCCAAUUGUGAUGCCUGAUCAUUGACAAAUGAACUUUACAGGGAUACAGCAAAAAUAAAUGAACCGUACUUGCAUGUUAUAUUCUUAGCAAAACCUAUUUACCUUGUAUCUCUUCAGAGAUCACACAAGAGGAAGACACAAUGUUUAUUGCUACCGGUGGUCAGUGUGCACACCCCAUGGAGAGCUAGAAGGUGCAUUAAUAUCACAAACGUUCAAACCUUCCUACAAUCAAAUAUACACCUGUAUGGUUUUUAAGCAGUGAUUUAAUAAAGUACUUAUGAGUGUGAACAUGAUGUUUGCUUCAUCACCGAAGCCUCAGAAGGUCCAUUUGAAGUUCUCAAUUAUAUUUUUAAUAAAUACUGCAAACAACUAUGCAUUUAAGACCGUGUGACGCAAACUGCUUGAGCACAUUAGAUUCGCCUAAUGAUAUGAUAAGAGUGUUGUAUCUUUUGCUUUGAGAUCUAAAUAAGUAAAUUUUUGAUUUCUAAACAUUUAUUUUUCAAAUUGCACAACAAAAGGCUAGAUCCACAUAGAGAUCUGUGGCUGGUUGCAUUAAAAGGCUUCAACUAGUCUUGGAAGUCAUCCAAUUUGUUUCAAGACUGGUCAUAAUGUUAAGUCAGUUACAUAAAAAAAAUU